AUAUCAAUAAGCGGAGGAAAAGAAACCAACAGGGAUUACCCUAGUAACGGCGAGUGAAGCGGUAAUAGCUCAAAUUUGAAAUCUGACCUUUACGGGUUCGAGUUGUAAUUUGUAGAGGAUGUUUCGGGCAAGACUUUGGUUUGAGUUUCUUGGAACAGAACGUCAUAGAGGGUGAGAAUCCCGUACGUGACUGGCCGCCUUCGCCCGUGUGAAGCUCUUUCGACGAGUCGAGUUGUUUGGGAAUGCAGCUCAAAAUGGGUGGUAUAUUUCAUCUAAAGCUAAAUAUUGGCCAGAGACCGAUAGCGCACAAGUA
rnacentral:rRNA from 1 species